rnacentral:rRNA from 1 species
UACGUAGGGUGCAAGCGUUGUCCGGAAUUAUUGGGCGUAAAGAGCUCGUAGGCGGUCUGUCGCGUCGGCUGUGAAAACUCGGGGCUCAACUCCGAGCCUGCAGUCGAUACGGGCAGACUAGAGUGCUGUAGGGGAGACUGGAAUUCCUGGUGUAGCGGUGAAAUGCGCAGAUAUCAGGAGGAACACCGAUGGCGAAGGCAGAUCUCUGGGCCGUAACUGACGCUGAGGAGCGAAAGCGUGGGGAGCGAACAGG